UUUUUAUGAGCAUUUUCUUUGUAAUUAUUUCUUUUAUUUAUCAGACUGUCAUUAUGAUUGUUGAAGAGCUUCACUGAAAUGACGAAAGUGGAAUAAUUGGCUGAACUAGUGAUGAGAUACGUUUACGAAUAUGAUUCUGCUGAAAAAAUAUGAAAUCACAAUAAAAAAAAUGUAGAGACAAUGUCCCUAAUUUAGUAUUUCCGCAGAAACUCAUGCCAAUUCAUUAAUCAAAUCCAACCAGUCAGUAGCCAAAAAUAUAUUCAAAAUGUCGUUUGAAGGGUCCUCCUAACAGAAAGAAGCAAGAACGCACUGGUGAAGAGGGCAGCGUCGUCGCCACACGAGCUCUGCACGGUUUGCUCGGAGCACCUCAAGUACUCUUGGAAUGAACUGGAAAUACAAAAUAUGUAUCAAACACUGACAACUUUAUUAUUAAAACUUACUGUUGGUUUA